AUUGAACGCUGGCGGCAUGCUUUACACAUGCAAGUCGAACGGUAACAGGCCUUCGGGUGCUGACGAGUGGCGAACGGGUGAGUAAUGCAUCGGAACGUGCCCAGAGGUGGGGGAUAACGCAGCGAAAGCUGUGCUAAUACCGCAUGUGAUCUGAGGAUGAAAGCGGGGGACCAGGCAGCAAUGUUUGGCCUCGCGCCUUUGGAGCGGCCGAUGUCAGAUUAGGUAGUUGGUGGGGUAAAGGCCUACCAAGCCGACGAUCUGUAGCUGGUCUGAGAGGACGACCAGCCACACUGGGACUGAGACACGGCCCAGACUCCUACGGGAGGCAGCAGUGGGGAAUUUUGGGCAAUGGGCGCAAGCCUGAUCCAGCAAUGCCGCGUGCGGGAAGAAGGCCUUCGGGUUGUAAACCGCUUUUGUACGGAACGAAAAGGCUCUGGCUAAUACCUGGGGCUGAUGACGGUACCGUAAGAAUAAGCACCGGCUAACUACGUG
rnacentral:rRNA from 1 species